rnacentral:rRNA from 1 species
GUUACCAAUGAGCUAACGCUUGAUCCAGUAACAUCUUGUGAGUGAUGAAGGCUCUUUAGCUGUAAAACUCAUUAUUUUAAAAAUAGGUAGAUUUGUAUAGAAAAAAAGUUCCGACUAAUGUUGUGCCAGCAGUCGCGGUAAUACAGCAGGAACUAGCGUUAUUUAGCAUAAAUGGGCGUAAAGCGUUUGUGGUUGGUAUAAAGUUGUUAGGUGUUAAAUUUCAUGGCGUAACUUUGAAACAGCGCUUAAAACGUUUAUACUAGAGUGCAAUGUAAGACAUUGGAAUUUUACAAGAAGAGGUAAAAUUUUUAGAACUGUAAAAGAACCUCAAAAGCAAAGGCUGUUGUCUAGGUUGUUGACUGACAUUAAGAAACGAAAGUGUGGUUAUCAAACAGGACUAGAUACCCUGGUAGUCUACACCCUAAAUUAUGAGUGUUAACCCUUAGUGUAUUUAAACAUUAGGCGUUUUUGUUAACUUGUUAAGCACUCCGCCUGAAAAGUAUAAUUACAAGAUGGAACUUCAAAGGAAUUGACGGGGAUCAAUUACCAGUGGUGGAGCAUGUUGUUUAAUGCGAUAGUACACGCUAAACCUUACCAGUUUUUGAUGGCGCAUUUUGUGAAGUUUUAAGAAACAAAAAUUUCCGUUUAAUAGUAAGCAUUCUACGCACAAGAAUUGCAUGGCUGUCGUCAGCUCGUGUUGUGAAAUGUUGGAUUAAUUUCUUAAACGAGCGAAACCCCUAUUUUUAAUUGCCACAGUUGAUUCUUUUAACAGGAACUUUAAAAAACUUGUUGGUGGAUAAGCCAAACGAAAGAAGGGAUCACGUCAAGUCCUUAUGAUCUUUAUAAACUGGGCUACAAACGUGCUACAGUGGAAAUUACAAAAAGUAGCGAUAGCCAAAAACUGGAGCAAAUCUUUAAAAAUUUCUAAUGUUCGAAUUGUGUUCUGAAACUCGAGCACAUGAAGUUGGAAUCACAAGUAAUCGUAGAUCAGCAUGCUAUGGUGAAUUUGUACCUUGAUCUUGUACACACCGCCCGUCACAUGUUGAAAAUAAGCUUUUUUUGAAGAGUUUUUAAGAAUUCAAAAAGUCUUUUUUACUUUAGGUGAAAAUUUAUAAUUAAGAUGAAGUCGUAACAAGGUAGUUGUUCGGGAACGAGCAGCUGGAA